rnacentral:misc_RNA from 1 species
GUCAUCUUCGAAGGUCUGCCAACAAAUUCUAUGAUUCCUUAAAAUGAUCUCAUAAUUAAAUAAUAUUUUUUAAAAUACAAUCCUUCUAAGGUAUGGGAUUCGAGAGAGAGUCAUUUCCUUUGACCCUUCCCUUUUAUGUCUAUUUAUGAAACAUGCAAAUUUUUUUUACAUUUUUUGGGUUUGAGAGAGUUUUUCCUUAACCCUAUGCAGUGUUAUCAAAGGCGAGC